UGGCGAACGGGUGAGUAACACGUGAGCAACCUGCCCUUGGCUCUGGGAUAGCCUCCGGAAACGGGGAUUAAUACCGGACAUGACCUUCUCCUGCAUGGGGGAGGGUGGAAAGUUUUUCGGCCAGGGAGGGGCUCGCGGCCUAUCAGCUUGUUGGGGGGGUAACGGCCCACCAAGGCGACGACGGGUAGCCGGCCUGAGAGGGCGACCGGCCACACUGGGACUGAGACACGGCCCAGACUCCUACGGGAGGCAGCAGUGGGGAAUAUUGCACAAUGGGGGAAACCCUGAUGCAGCGACGCCGCGUGCGGGAUGAAGGCCUUCGGGUUGUAAACCGCUUUCAGCAGGGGCGAAUUCAGACGGUACCUGCAGAAGAAGCGCCGGCUAACUACGUGCCAGCAGCCGCGGUAAUACGUAGGGCGCGAGCGUUGUCCGGAAUUAUUGGGCGUAAAGAGCUCGUAGGCGGCCUGUUGCGUCCGCUGUGAAAUCCCAGGGCUUAACCCUGGGCCUGCAGUGGAUACGGGCAGGCUGGAGGCAGGCAGGGGAGAACGGAAUUCCCGGUGUAGCGGUGAAAUGCGCAGAUAUCGGGAGGAACACCGGUGGCGAAGGCGGUUCUCUGGGCCUGUUCUGACGCUGAG
rnacentral:rRNA from 1 species